rnacentral:lncRNA from 1 species
CACCCUUCUUCUUCAUAUGUUCCUUCUAUUCCUCCUGCUGAUGACUUCACUGCCUCAGACUUACCUAUAUUUACUUCCCCUGAUUCUCCUGUUCUUCCAUCUAAUUCUGAUUCUCCUGCACCUGAUUUUCCUGAUGUUGGUCCAUCUUCCCUUCCUUCUUUCAAUCCUGAUCUCUCUGCUCCUGUGUUACCUCCUUCCCA